rnacentral:rRNA from 1 species
GACGAACGCUGGCGGCGUGCUUAACACAUGCAAGUCGAACGGAAAGGCCCUGCUUUUGUGGGGUGCUCGAGUGGCGAACGGGUGAGUAACACGUGAGUAACCUGCCCUUGACUUUGGGAUAACUUCAGGAAACUGGGGCUAAUACCGGAUAGGAGCUCCUGCUGCAUGGUGGGGGUUGGAAAGUUUCGGCGGUUGGGGAUGGACUCGCGGCUUAUCGGCUUGUUGGUGGGGUAGUGGCUUACCAAGGCUUUGACGGGUAGCCGGCCUGAGAGGGUGACCGGCCACAUUGGGACUGAGAUACGGCCCAGACUCCUACGGGAGGCAGCAGUGGGAAUAUUGCACAAUGGGCGGAAGCCUGAUGCAGCAACGCCGCGUGCGGGAUGACGGCCUUCGGGUUGUAAACCGCUUUCGCCUGUGACGAAGCGUGAGUGACGGUAAUGGGUAAAGAAGCACCGGCUAACUACGUG